rnacentral:rRNA from 1 species
UACAGAGGUCUCAAGCGUUGUUCGGAUUCAUUGGGCGUAAAGGGUGCGUAGGUGGCGCCGUAAGUCAGGUGUGAAAUCUCGGGGCUCAACCCCGAAACUGCACUUGAUACUGCGGUGCUCGAGUACUGGAGAGGAGAUUGGAAUUUACGGUGUAGCAGUGAAAUGCGUAGAUAUCGGGAGGAACACCUGUGGCGAAAGCGGACGCACUGGACCAUAACUGACGCUGAUGCGCGAAAGCUAGGGGAGCAAACAGG